rnacentral:lncRNA from 1 species
AAUAGAAACCCUGACUAAGACAAAAUCCAUGAGGAUGGGAGAUCUCAUCCAUCUUCCGAUAUCUUCUUCAAUAUAUUUCUUCAGUGACGUGAACGUCUGUCAUAUAGGUAUUUGACUUGCUAGGUAGAAUUUCACCGAUGUAUUUUGUAUUAUUUAUGACUAUUGUAAAGGGUAUAGUUUCCAUAAUUUCUUUCUAGCCAAUUUACAAUUUGAGUAAAGAAGGGUUACUGAUUUCUCUGAGUCAAUUCUGUAUCCGGCCUUCAGCUGUAGGAGAUCUCUAGUAGAAUUUUGGGAUCGCUUAUGAAAUAUCAUCUCAUCCUCAGGUGAUACUUCUUCCUUUCCAAUUUAUAUCCCCUUGAUUUCCUUUAGUUGUUUUAUUGCUCUGGCUAGAAUUUCAAGUAUCAGCACUUACUUAUGAAUGGGGUACACUCUCUCUGAUUCUGGGACUCACUUAUUAUGAGUCAGAUGCGAUCCCUCUGUGACAUACAAUAUAAGAGGAAGAAAGAAAGAACUUUCAUUGUCACAAAGCAAGCUUUAGGUACAAAUCUACAUAGGGAGCUGACUGCUGUUGAUCUAGACUGUGGUAUAUCUACAGUCCACUGAGAAAGACAGCAAGAGUCAUUCUUGAAAUUUCAUUUGAUAUGUUACCAUUUUCUCAAGGACUCUAGGUAGUGAAGAUAUUUGCUGUUUGAAAAUAGCUGAUAGACUUGCCACUAUUGUCCGAAUGGGCUCAUCAUUUGGGGAUGAUUGGUAUUGCUAGCUCCAAAACUGUGUAGGAGGAUUAGAAACAAUUGCCCUCCAGCAGCCAGGAGAGUUAGUCCCUUCUUGUGCCACAAGGGCCAGCCAGUGAGGAGAAGCUCCUGCCACAGUUCAAACUUUGUUUCACUGUGUUUUGCAACAACUGUAUGUUGUGACUUCCCACUGCAUAGUUCUUCUGGGCAACCGAAAGCAGUAGCUAUGCUUGUGAUAUUCUAGCUGACAGUAGGGACUCAGCCUACACCUAGCACUCAAGAGUUCCCUUUACUAAACCAUGGCUCGUUUAAAGGGACCACUAAUCAGGAUUGAAAACUUAUCUUCAGAUAAUUUUUGAUGUUGGAGGAGGCUGCAUUAUCUUAGUAGUAGCUACUGGCAAGGCACACAUUGUAUUUCUGUAAACAACCAGGAAGAAAAACAUUGAGUCACACACGUGGGGGAAAACAUGUGAAAAUAGAAGGAAGGCUAGUUGGAAAGGAGGGAGACAGGUAUGGGUGACUGGGGUCAAAUGGUCAAUAUAAAAUGUCUAUAUGCAUGGAGAUGUAAUAAUGAAGCAUAUUUUUAAGUAUAAUUAAUAAAAAUGAAUAAAACAUAUAAUAAGCCCCUUUAUCCAGGCCUUUUGCACAAAUAGAUGUCUAUGCUACAUUAAAAAAAUAUAUAAACACUUGUUUAUAUUUAAACAGCAAUAACAAAAGAGUAGGAUUUUUUUAAUUUUGAUUUUUAUUCUUUAAUCUUUUUUUACAGUCCAGUCUUUAUCCCCCUCCAGGUCCACACUCAGACUGUUCCACAUCCCAUAGCUCCUCCCCCACCAUCUCCAAGAGGAUGUCCCCAAUCCCUACCCUUCCCCCUCCCAGAUCUCCCCACUACCUGGGGCCUCAAGUCUCUUGGGGGUUAGGCACAUCUUUUCACUGAGUCAAGGCCUAGCAGUCCUCUGCUCUAUAUGUGUUUGGGGCCUCAUAUAAGCUGAUACAUUCUGCCUGUUUGGUGCCUUAGUGUCUGAGCAAUCUUGAGAGUUCAGGUUAGUUGAGACUGCUGGUUUUCCUAUAGGGUCACCCUCCUCAGCUUCCAGCUUUUCCCUAAUUCAACCACAGGGAUCAGCAGCUUCUGUCCAUUGUUUGGGUGUAAACAUCUGCAUCUGACUCCUUCAGUAAUUCUUUUCUAUGACAUGAAAAUAUGCAAUCCCUUAUUGAGGAUAGUUAUAUAGCCGUGACAAUGUACUAAAUUUGAUUUUAUGCUGACUUUAUACCACACUGAUUUUAUACUUCAAAGUGGUAAAUUUUAUGGCUUUGCCAAUAAAUAUAUACAUUUAAAAGCAAAGGUUAAAAAGAGAAGGUGUGUUUCAUCCCCUUCAUUCUACAGGAGUGGUUCUCAACCUUCCUAACGCUGCGACCCUUUUAUGUAACUGUUCAGGUUGUGGUGACCCUUAGCCAUAAAAUUAUUUUUGCCGUUUCUACAUAACUGCAAUUUUGCAACUGUCAUGAAUUAAAAUGUACACAUCUGUGUUUUAUAAUGGUUUUAGGUACCCCUGUGAAAGAAGGGUCCUUUAACCCUCAAAUGGGUUGCAAACUAUAGGUUGAGAACCAUAUAUUUAAACAUUUUUGAUUCCAGAAGAAUUUAAGUCAAUAGUUUUUAUUCAAGUUAAUCUGUUGCUUGCCUUUCAGUAAAGGUAACUGACUGUUAUUUGACAAGCUUAAGUGACUACUUAAAAGC